GUGGGGAAUCUUGCGUAAUGGGCGAAAGCCUGACGCAGCCAUGCCGCGUGAAUGAUGAAGGUCUUAGGAUUGUAAAAUUCUUUCACCGGGGACGAUAAUGACGGUACCCGGAGAAGAAGCCCCGGCUAACUUCGUGCCAGCAGCCGCGGUAAUACGAAGGGGGCUAGCGUUGCUCGGAAUUACUGGGCGUAAAGGGCGCGUAGGCGGAUCGUGAAGUCAGGGGUGAAAUCCCGGAGCUCAACUCUGGAACUGCCCUUGAUACUGGCGAUCUGGAGUGUGAGAGAGGUAUGUGGAACUCCGAGUGUAGAGGUGAAAUUCGUAGAUAUUCGGAAGAACACCAGUGGCGAAGGCGACAUACUGGCUCAUUACUGACGCUGAGGCGCGAAAGCGUGGGGAGCAAACAGGAUUAGAAACCCGUGUAGUCC
rnacentral:rRNA from 1 species